GCUCGCGCGGUGCAAGGUGGGCUUGCCUCCCCACCGUCAGGCCGGCCCUCAUCACAAUGCAAUAGCGGGGAGCCAUGCCGGCGCCCCCCACCGGAGGCGGCCCCGGCCGGCAAAGCCCACCAACGUUUCCACGCGGCUAAGGGGACUCCGGCCGACUAGUGGCUGAGGGGCGGAAGGGCCAAGACCGGAAGGAUUAAGAGCCUUGGCCAGUGUCAUACUUGAGUCCAGCUCUCCUGUCUCUGAAUUCACCUUGUAGUGUAUCUUUUAAGACUUGAAGUACUGAGGAAGACUGGACUUCUCUGUUGUUUUCACUGAUUCAACUUUUGGUUCUUGACUCAAAAUCAAAUAAAUAUACAAAUAAACCAAAGCUUUACUUAAGACAUUUUCCUUCCUUCCUAAAAUGACCAUCAUUAAAGAACUAGUAAUGUUAA